AGAGAAGCCAGGUCCCCUAGUUUUGGCAUCAUACCUGGCAUAACUGAUAGGCAUGUAUGGGAGGACCACAUUCCUGGGGACAGCCUGGGUAUGUGACAUGGCAGGUGACCAGGUUCCCAUGAAUGCCCGAGGCUGUGCCCAUCCCAUGAGCUGGGGCUUCCCUGGAGGUAAAGAGCUAGGGUGGGGUGGCAGUGGGUAGAACCCCAGCUGGACAGCUCCUUCCUUAGCUCUGUGAUUGCUACAGCUGGUUCUGGAGGCCACAGGUGCCCUCAGGACAAAUGGGGCUUCUUCAGCACAGGGUAGUGAGUGCUGAGCUAAGCAAGGACACUGUCCCCUUCUCUGCCCAGGCUCGAGCUGUGCACCUUUACCCUGGCAAUUGCCCUGGGUGCUGUCCUGCUCCUGCCCUUCUCCAUCAUCAGCAAUGAGGUGCUGCUCUCCCUGCCUCGGAACUACUACAUCCAGUGGCUCAACGGCUCCCUCAUCCAUGGCCUCUGGAACCUUGUUUUUCUCUUCUCCAACCUGUCCCUCAUCUUCCUCAUGCCCUU
rnacentral:sRNA from 1 species